CUGACAUGAGUAACGAUAAAGGGGGUGAAAAACCUCCUCGCCGGAAGACCAAGGGUUCCUGUCCAACGUUAAUCGGGGCAGGGUAAGUCGACCCCUAAGGCGAGGCCGAAAGGCGUAGUCGAUGGGAAACGGGUUAAUAUUCCCGUACUUCUUACAAUUGCGAUGGGGGGACGGAGAAGGCUAGGUGGGCCUGGCGACGGUUGUCCAGGUUCAAGUGCGUAGGCUUAAGAGUUAGGUAAAUCCGGCUCUUUUUAAGGCUGAGACACGACGUCGAGCCACUACGGUG
rnacentral:rRNA from 1 species